GCAAGCUUGGCCGAGUGGUCUAAGGCGCUGGGUUAGUCAUCAAGUCUCUUUCAAUUCUUAAAUUGAAUUCUACUAACAAUAUCACAGACUCAAGAGAAUUUCCUCUUUCACUGUUUCAGUGAAGCAUUCUAGUCUCGAAAGAGGCGUGGGUUCAAAUCCCACAGCUUGCA
rnacentral:tRNA from 1 species